rnacentral:tRNA from 1 species
GCCUGGGUGGCUCAGUCGGUUAAGCCUCUGACUUCGGCUCAGGUCAUGAUCUCAGUUUGUGAGUUCGAGCCCCGCAUCAGGCU